rnacentral:pre_miRNA from 1 species
CAAAUACUCCCUCCGUCCGGAAAUACUUGUCAUCAGAAUGGAAAAAAGGGGAUGUAUCUAGAUGUAUUUUAAUUCUAGAUACAUCUCUUUUAAUCCAUUUUGAUGACAAGUAUUUUCGGACGGAGGGAGUAUAAG